rnacentral:rRNA from 1 species
UGGGGAAUUUUGGACAAUGGGCGCAAGCCUGAUCCAGCCAUGCCGCGUGCGGGAAGAAGGCCCUCGGGUUGUAAACCGCUUUCAGAAGGAACGAAACUGACGGUACUUUCAGAAGAAGGUGCGGCCAACUACGUGCCAGCAGCCGCGGUGACACGUAGGCACCAAGCGUUGUCCGGAUUUAUUGGGCGUAAAGAGCUCGUAGGCGGUUCAGUAAGUCGGGUGUGAAAACUUUGGGCUUAACCCAAAGCGUGCAUCCGAUACUGCUGUGACUUGAGUACGGUAGGGGAGCGGGGAAUUCCUAGUGUAGCGGUGAAAUGCGCAGAUAUUAGGAGGAACACCGGUGGCGAAGGCGCCGCUCUGGGCCGAAACUGACGCUGAGGAGCGAAAGCAUGGGUAGCAAACAGGAUUAGAUACCCUAGUAGUCCCUGAGCGGGCUGGCAAGGCGCAU